GCGAACGGACGGGGAACGUUUUUCGCUCGGAUCGCGCGCGCAGUGUUUUUGUUAUUUUGCCAGCAAAGGCAAACAAAAGCAAAUUGUUUGUAUGUACGCACAAGUGUGAGUGUAUGGAGAGUGGAAAAAAAGUGUUUAAUUCGUCGCUAGUCGCAAACCAAUCAAAUAAUUUUAAAGAAACUUUUUACUCAGCUGAGUAACGAAUUUUACAUAUCAAAAAAGGGAAAAAAUCGCUUUCAAAAUUUAAUUUAAUAUCGAAAACCAGACGAAAAAACGCUGAAUCAUGCAAGCGCUCAUGUCUAAGACUACAGAAACUUUUACUUAAAACAAAAAUAAUACAAAAACAAAACAAAAAAAAAACGCACAAAGUUGCAAUACGCAUUUUUCAUACGAAAAUA